rnacentral:rRNA from 1 species
AACGCUGGCGGCGUGCCUAAUACAAGCAAGUAGAACGCUGAAGAGAGGAGCUUGCUCUUCUUGGAUGAGUUGCGAACGGGUGAGUAACGCGUAGGUAACCUGCCUUGUAGCGGGGGAUAACUAUUGGAAACGAUAGCUAAUACCGCAUAACAAUGGAUGACACAUGUCAUUUAUUUGAAAGGGGCAAUUGCUCCACUACAAGAUGGACCUGCGUUGUAUUAGCUAGUAGGUGAGGUAACGGCUCACCUAGGCGACGAUACAUAGCCGACCUGAGAGGGUGAUCGGCCACACUGGGACUGAGACACGGCCCAGACUCCUACGGGAGGCAGCAGUAGGGGAUCUUCGGCAAUGGGGGCAACCCUGACCGAGCAACGCCGCGUGAGUGAAGAAGGUUUUCGGAUCGUAAAGCUCUGUUGUAAGUCAAGAACGAGUGUGAGAGUGGAAAGUUCACACUGUGACGGUAGCUUACCAGAAAGGGACGGCUAACUACGUGCCAGCAGCCGCGGUAAUACGUAGGUCCCGAGCGUUGUCCGGAUUUAUUGGGCGUAAAGCGAGCGCAGGCGGUUUGAUAAGUCUGAAGUUAAAGGCUGUGGCUCAACCAUAGUUCGCUUUGGAAACUGUCAAACUUGAGUGCAGAAGGGGAGAGUGGAAUUCCAUGUGUAGCGGUGAAAUGCGUAGAUAUAUGGAGGAACACCGGUGGCGAAAGCGGCUCUCUGGUCUGUAACUGACGCUGAGGCUCGAAAGCGUGGGGAGCGAACAGGAUUAGAUACCCUGGUAGUCCACGCCGUAAACGAUGGGUGCUAGGUGUUGGAUCCUCUCCGGGAUUCAGUGCCGCAGCUAACGCAUUAAGCACUCCGCCUGGGAGUAC